GGGAGAGAGAAAGAGCAUCGAAGACAAUCUACGGUUGGAGAUCGAAUCCAAGGCAAGAAACUUCGGAGCAAUACUUCUCUCGGUGCUGGAAAAGGAGUUUGGGUGGCGGAUCCACUCAUUCCGGCAAGAAAAUCCGAGAAUGGACAAAAUAAGAUUUAUUGAAGUCUCUCGACGAAAAUCAGAGUUCCAAGAAAAUACGAUUUUCGGGGAGGAGAGAGGGGGCAUUGCCGCCACAUGUCGGCCAGCGUACGGAGGAGCGCGGCAGGACCGACGAGCAACACGUGGCGUCUGCGGGCUGGAGAAGCACAUUAGGCACGCGCAACUGUGUUGGCCCGAGUCCGAACCACGCGAACCGAACCGAUCCGGCCACUAGCCCGCGACUGCGCGGGAAGUUGCGCGUGGACACGCGCGCGUAGUACACUCUCCAGAGCGCGUCAGCGCGCGUGUAGGUGUGUGAGUGACCUUUUUCCCUCCGUUCGACCUCUGUUUGCUUGAUUUUCGCCCCGAUUUCAACUCUGAUCUUAUUUUUAUGUGAAUUAGGACCUAUCAAGGAAAUUCCAUAAUUUUUGGAACCUUUUUCAGCAAAUAAUUCGAGCUUGGGAAGAUACGCGUCAACCAUGUGCCAGUCUAUACGGAGAGGUGUUCGAGAGCUGCACUGUUACAAAGGGGUGUCGUUCCGAAGCGUCAGUCCCUUGUCGGUCUUUUAGAGUCUUUUGUAUUUCAUUUUAUAUUUGUAAUUCCUUUUUAUAAUAAUUUGAAACGA